AGCGGGACAAGUUCUGGCAACUUCCAAUAACGGUCUGAAAUAAAAGCAGGAGGCAGCUCCUUGGUGUCUGGAGGUAAUUCCGUCCACUCGUGUCGGGGUUCAGCCUCUCCUUUCCAGGCUCUGGCCACAUGUGACACUUCACGCAUACAACUUGUUCCAGCGAAGGCCCCCACGUGCCUACCACGUCCCCAGUGCUCCCCACUCAAACAAAAUAUCCUCAACUGCUCGGGUGUUGGGAUGCCAUAAAGCUGCAGCCUCAGCUCCAGCCAGCUCUGCUUCUCGCUGCACGAAGGUCUCUGUGUCUGGCAUUUGAUGGCCCCAGCCUCAUAAGGAGCCAUAAAAAUGGAAGGGCAACUGCACCUUAAGCAUGGGCGCAGGUAGAGCCGCUGAGCUGCCGUCUCAUCCGCACCGAUGGAGCUGCGGGGCACGGAGGGAUGGUGGCAUGCAGUGGCA
ensembl:lncRNA